rnacentral:pre_miRNA from 1 species
CACAUACUCCCUCCGUCCCAAAAUUCUUGUCUUAGAUUUGUCUAAAUACGGAUGUAUCAAGUCACAUUUUAGUAUUAGAUACAUCCGUAUCUAGAUAAAUCUAAGACAAGAAUUUUGGGACGGAGGGAGUACAUG